rnacentral:rRNA from 1 species
GAUGAACGCUGGCGGCGUGCCUAAUACAUGCAGGUCGAGCGAACAGACGAGGAGCUUGCUCCUCUGACGUUAGCGGCGGACGGGUGAGUAACACGUGGAUAACCUACCUAUAAGACUGGGAUAACUUCGGGAAACCGGAGCUAAUACCGGAUAAUAUAUUGAACCGCAUGGUUCAAUAGUGAAAGACGGUUUUGCUGGCACUUAUAGAUGGAUCCGCGCCGCAUUAGCUAGUUGGUAAGGUAACGGCUUACCAAGGCAACGAUGCGUAGCCGACCUGAGAGGGUGAACGGCCACCCUGGAACUGAGACACGGUCCAGACUCCUACGGGAGGCAGCAGUAGGGAAUCUUCCGCAAAGGGCGAAAGCCUGACGGAGCAACGCCGCGUGAGUGAUGAAGGUCUUCGGAUCGUAAAACUCUGUUAUUAGGGAAGAAAAAAUGUGUAAGUAACUAUGCACGUCUUGACGGUACCUAAUCAGAAAGCCACGGCUAACUACGUG